CGUCUUCCCCCCAGAUGAAACAGAUGAAACAAGAUGAAACGAGAUGAAACGAGAUGAAACAAGAUGAAACAAGAUGAAACGCCAAUGUACGGGCGCAGAUGGGGCCGAGAUGAAACGAAAUGAAACAAAAUGAAACAAGAUGAAACAAGAUGAAACAAGAUGAAACCAAAUGAAACUCGAAGUACGGGCGUAGAUGGGCCGCGAAUGAAACAAGAUGAAACAAGAUGAAACAAGAUGAAACAAUGUACGGGCGGAGAUGGGCCGCGCGCAGUGCACCCGGCGUGACGUGCACGAGCGAAAAGAACUGAAUUAAUCCAAUCAUUGAAAUAAUUUUGUUUGCAGAGGCAAUUCGCGCAAGGGAGGUAUAGGAAUUAUUAUUAUGAUGGCUUGCGAGUGACAGCACGAGCCGAAUUUAUUGCCCGUGGAAGUACCCACGAUAGGAAUACACUGUUGGGAACAUGGUGGCGCCGCUGACGGUACCUAUGUAAGUGGAAUUACUUUAUUGGAAGUACCCACGACGGGGAAAAUAGUCUCUCUAGUAUUGUCGGUGAAUGGUGAUGGUGGUGGUGGCGAUGGCUACUUUCCUCUGCUCAGAGAGAACCCCUGCAUGUCCUUCGUCGUGAUGCAAAAGAGCAGUGGAUGCAGAAAAUGUCUCUACCUGCCAGGAUGGUAUAAGAGCACGAACUGAAUCACCUGUUGGUGCAGAAGGCUUGGAGGACUGCUUUUGAAACAGUUGUUCAAAUUUCCUGCACCUCUUCGUAGCCGUUGUCUGACUUCUGCAUUCUGGGGAGACUGAAGUUAAGAAGCCCUCACCGAAACCAACACUACGUCGCUGUGUUGUUUUCUUCCAAGGUCGGGCACAGUAAAGGAGACGACUCUGUAUUAAGGCACUACCCAGAGGGAGGAUGUUGGCCUUCUCCUGAUGGGAAAAUAUCUUCUUUCUCAUGGCGUGGCCAGGACUGCACUGACCCUACCAUCCACUCUACCUCUCCGGAAAGGGACUUGACAACCAGUCAAGAUGGAAGUGCAGAGAUAUACCAGCGCUUCUAGCAUUAACUGCCAAUUUGCACUGACGCAGCAAGACUCCCAACAGUCAAAAAGAAUAAUAUAGACGUGCAGAAAAUGUAGGAGAGCGAUGACAUCAGAAGGACACUCUCAGGUUCAGGGUACCUGUACUGCCCCAAUAAAGUGGGUCAGAUCCCAAAACGAGGUUGGCCGAAGCAAAAAAAUAGAAGAGCCUGCCUUGAAUCGAAUAUGAGGAAGAAGAAGAAGAAGACAAAGAAAGAGAAAGAGUAGGAAUUUGUUUGUGUAAACUUUGUUUCCUCUGUCUAGGCCAUCGCAUUAUAGCAGCCAACAGUGUGUGUGUGUGUGUGUGUGUGUGUGUGUGUGUGUGUGUGUGUGUGUGUGUGUGUGUGUGUGUGUGUGUGUGUGUGUGUGUGUGUGUGUGUGUGUGUGUGUGUGCGCGUAUGUGUGUGUGUGUGUGUUUGCGUUUGUGUGCACACGCUUGUGUGUGUAUGUGUUUGCAUGUGCGUAUAUUCUGCUCAUCUUGACUUAAAUUUCCACAUCUGGGCAUAUUGUGUUCUGUAUUACUACGUUCCUUUCUUCACGUUACG